GGGUUCCUGGGUGGGGCUGACUGGUUGCAGGAGGAGGGACACUUCAACAGCCAUCCUGAAACCAUAGCCCAGGGCUUGGCUCCUUGCUUCUGUCUCCAGCAGCCAGACAAGCACCAUGAAGAGGCUGCUGUGCUCUCUGCUGGGGCUGCUGUGCACCCAGGUUUGCUGGGUGAAAGGUCAACAAGUGGAGCAGAGUCCUGUGUCCUUGGUUCUGCAGGAGGGAGAGCGUGCAGAGCUGCAGUGCAAUUUUUCCACAGUUUUGAGCAGUGUGCAGUGGUUUCACCAAAGUCCUGGGGGACAUCUGAAGAGCCUGUUUUACAAUCCUUCUGGAACAAAGAAGAGUGGAAGACUGAUGUCUACGACAGUCACUCAGGAACGUCGCAGCUCUCUGUACAUUUCCUCCUCUCAGACCACAGACUCAGGCACUUAUUUCUGUGCUAUGAGUGCACAGUGCUCCCCACACACCUGCAGCCAGUACACAAACCUUCAGCGGGGUGGGUGUGGCUCUUCCCUAUCAUGA